GACAUAGGUGGCGAACGUUAUCCGGAAUUAUUGGGCGUAAAGGAUGCGUAGAUGGUAUAGUAAGUUAUCGGUGGUAAAUCGAGGCUCAACCUCGUGGAAGUCGGUAAUACUGCUAUACUAGAGGAUAGGAGAAGUUAACGGAACUUCCUGUGGAGCGGUGAAAUGCGUAGAUAUCGGGAGGAACACCUGUGGCGAAAGCGGCGCACUGGACCACAACUGACGCUGAGGCGCGAAAGCUAGGGGAGCAAACAGG
rnacentral:rRNA from 1 species